rnacentral:rRNA from 1 species
ACUAUAACGGUCCUAAGGUAGCGAAAUUCCUUGUCGGGUAAGUUCCGACCUGCACGAAUGGCGUAAUGAUGGCCAGGCUGUCUCCACCCGAGACUCAGUGAAAUUGAACUCGCUGUGAAGAUGCAGUGUACCCGCGGCAAGACGGAAAGACCCCGUGAACCUUUACUAUAGCUUGACACUGAACAUUGAGCCUUGAUGUGUAGGAUAGGUGGGAGGCUUUGAAGCGUGGACGCCAGUCUGCGUGGAGCCAACCUUGAAAUACCACCCUUUAAUGUUUGAUGUUCUAACGUUGGCCCCUGACCGGGGUUGCGGACAGUGUCUGGUGGGUAGUUUGACUGGGGCGGUCUCCUCCCAAAGCGUAACGGAGGAGCACGAAGGUUAGCUAAUCCUGGUCGGACAUCAGGAGGUUAGUGCAAUGGCAUAAGCUAGCUUGACUGCGAGCGUGACGGCGCGAGCAGGUGCGAAAGCAGGUCAUAGUGAUCCGGUGGUUCUGAAUGGAAGGGCCAUCGCUCAACGGAUAAAAGGUACUCCGGGGAUAACAGGCUGAUACCGCCCAAGAGUUCAUAUCGACGGCGGUGUUUGGCACCUCGAUGUCGGCUCAUCACAUCCUGGGGCUGAAGUAGGUCCCAAGGGUAUGGCUGUUCGCCAUUUAAAGUGGUACGCGAGCUGGGUUUAGAACGUCGUGAGACAGUUCGGUCCCUAUCUGCCGUGGGCGCUGGAGAAUUGAGGGGGGCUGCUCCUAGUACGAGAGGACCGGAGUGGACGCAUCACUGGUGUUCGGGUUGUCAUGCCAAUGGCACUGCCCGGUAGCUAAAUGCGGAAGAGAUAAGUGCUGAAAGCAUCUAAGCACGAAACUUGCCCCGAGAUGAGUUCUCCCUGAGACUUUAAGUCUCCUGAAGGAACGUUGAAGACGACGACGUUGAUAGGCCGGGUGUGUAAGCGCAGCGAUGCGUUGAGCUAACCGGUACUAAUGAACCGUGAGGCUUAACCUU